AACAGGCUGAUACCGCCCAAGAGUUCAUAUCGACGGCGGUGUUUGGCACCUCGAUGUCGGCUCAUCACAUCCUGGGGCUGAAGUAGGUCCCAAGGGUAUGGCUGUUCGCCAUUUAAAGUGGUACGCGAGCUGGGUUUAGAACGUCGUGAGACAGUUCGGUCCCUAUCUGCCGUGGGCGCUGGAGAACUGAGGGGGGCUGCUCCUAGUACGAGAGGACCGGAGUGGACGCAUCACUGGUGUUCGGGUUGUCAUGCCAAUGGCACUGCCCGGUAGCUAAAUGCGGAAGAGAUAAGUGCUGAAAGCAUCUAAGCACGAAACUUGCCCCGAGAUGAGUUCUCCCUGACUCCUUGAGAGUCCUGAAGGAACGUUGAAGACGACGACGUUGAUAGGCCGGGUGUGUAAGCGCAGCGAUGCGUUGAGCUAACCGGUACUAAUGAACCGUGAGGCUUAACCUUACAACGCCGAAGGUGUUUUG
rnacentral:rRNA from 1 species